rnacentral:misc_RNA from 1 species
AGAGAGAGAGAGAGAGAGAUUUACGAGUUACAAACAACGAGGCCCAAAUUUGCUUUCACAAAACCCCGGCAAAGUAGCAAUAGCAGUGCCCAAUGGAUUAUAGGCAAAAGUCAGGCCCAUAAAGCAUCUACAAACGGACCUCUUAUUAUCUCCCGGGUUCUGCCAUCGCAUCACAGCAUGGCUAACCCGGAAGUGGGUCUGGUAAACCAUAGAUGAUGUGGAGCAAGCUGAGAGAAGCCCUAUCACAGGGGUGCACCCCCCCCGUCUGCCACAACUAUGGCAGCCCAUGAGAGCAACAUCAGCAGUCCUAUCUUCAUUCUCUGGAACUUAAUUCCGGUGACCUUCUACUAUAUUGGUUCAACGAUUGUACAGUUGAAUCAUGGAAAUAGUUGGUUGGGAUGCAACGACGAACUUGUGCUUCUUCAGGCAGGUACAAUGUUGCCCCGCUAUUUGCAUAUGAUGUAGCAGGUCUAUGGUGUCGUGGUGUAGCUGGAGUCGCGACGCGGAGAGGAAGAAAGUUGCAGCUCCUUUUUGUCGGCAGAUGAGUGCUUUUAGGGUUUUAUUAUUUUUUUGUCUUAAAAAAUAAAAUAAAAAAGGUUACUACUGCGUUGAAGGAGUUGAGCCUCUCGUCUGCCUGGCGCCUCACCUAUUGCCUCUCGGAAUGUCAAGAGAGGCGUCCCGAUCAAGGCGACAGAGGGGCGUCUCGCCUCGCCUAGUCACCUCUCACGCCUUUGAUAACAC